rnacentral:misc_RNA from 1 species
CCGAGUUUACAACUCCCAAACCCCUGUGAACAUACCACUUGUUGCCUCGGCGGAUCAGCCCGCUCCCGGUAAAACGGGACGGCCCGCCCGAGGACCCCUAAACUCUGUUUCUAUAUGUAACUUCUGAGUAAAACCAUAAAUAAAUCA